rnacentral:rRNA from 1 species
GAUGAACGCUAGCUACAGGCUUAACACAUGCAAGUCGAGGGGUAACGAGAGGAAAGCUUGCUUUCCUUGUCGACGACCGGCGCACGGGUGAGUAACGCGUAUCCAACCUGCCCCCAACUAGGGAAUAACCUUGCGAAAGUAAGACUAAUACCCUAUAAUUUCCUCAGAUGACAUCUGACGAGGAACAAAGAUUUAUCGGUUGUGGAUGGGGAUGCGUCUGAUUAGCUUGUUGGCGGGGUAACGGCCCACCAAGGCAACGAUCAGUAGGGGUUCUGAGAGGAAGGUCCCCCACAUUGGAACGGAGACACGGUCCAAACUCCUACGGGAGGCAGCAGUGAGGAAUAUUGGUCAAUGGGCGGAAGCCUGAACCAGCCAAGUAGCGUGCAGGAUGACGGCCCUAUGGGUUGUAAACUGCUUUUAUACAGGAAUAAAGUUAGCCACGUGUGGUUAUUUGUAGGUACUGUAUGAAUAAGGACCGGCUAAUUCCGUGCCAGCCGCCGCAGUAA